AUGGCGACCGGCGCACGGGUGAGUAACACGUAUCCAACCUGCCUCAUACUCGGGGAUAGCCUUUCGAAAGAAAGAUUAAUACCCGAUGUUAUAGUCCUACCGCAUGAUGGGAUUAUUAAAGAAUUUCGGUAUGGGAUGGGGAUGCGUUCCAUUAGUUAGUUGGCGGGGUAACGGCCCACCAAGACAACGAUGGAUAGGGGUUCUGAGAGGAAGGCCCCCCACACUGGGACUGAGACACGGCCCAGACUCCUACGGGAGGCAGCAG
rnacentral:rRNA from 1 species